AUGAUGCCUAAUCCGCGAGCGACCCAAUCAGAAUCAAUCUUCAAACAGCUGGGAAAAGGGCAGGGAGCCCUUCAGCAGGCUGCUGCGAUUUCAUGCCAUAUUCUGCACGCCAUUGAUCCACAUUCCACAAUAGUGAGCGGAACAGGCGUCUGUUCCAGGGCGAGAUGCUCUCCAAGGCUGCGCUGGGGAGGAGGAUCAGGGAGGAGAUUAGCCUUUGGAACAUGGCGGGAGCGGGGAUCCCUUUUGACCCGGGCUGAGUCUUGUGUUUCUUCUCUUUUUUCUUCCUCUUGCACCUUUUUCUUUUCUGGUGCUUGA
rnacentral:rRNA from 1 species